UUGUACAGGAAGCCUAUUUCAUCCACCUUUUAAACAAACACUUACUGAGCAUCUAUUCAUCAAGUACCCUUUGUACAUGCCAUUUUUUGGAGUAGCCAAGGUCAAACUUAAUGCUUUUUUAAGAGUCUAGCUGACCAGCUGCAGGAUCUUCAGACAGACGUCAAGCAGAGAUGAAGUGAAAAUCACCACCAUUUUUCUUUCUGCUUGAAAUAAUCAUGAAAACAAGUAACCUGUGGGAGUCCUUGCCACUUUCUCCUGAGGGUGUAGCCUUCCAGUUCACCGGGGACAUGAGCUGCGUCUUCCUAACGCUCAGCGGCUGCAGUCCACACGCAGAAGUCAGGGCCCAGCUCUCAGCGGGUCUCUCCAAGGAGGAAUGCAAAGAAAGCAGGUGAUUUAAUAUGAAGAGGGAAAUACACAAUGUGUAAAGGAGCAUCUGUGAGUUUCACUUGGACCCCUGAUGUGGCUGUAUUCAUCGAUGGCUUGGAUGGCCCUCACCUGUUUUGGGGCUCACCUGGGAUGACUGAAUGGUUGAGAUGGCUGAGAUUCUCUCUCCACGUGACUUUCACUCUAGAUUCUUCUAAGUGUGACCUCAGGAUUCCAAGAGAACCGGCCCCAAUGACAAGCACUUAUCAGGCCUCUGCCUGUCUCAAAUGUGGUGAUGCUUCAUUGAUCAAAGUCAGUCAAAUGGCCAAGCAAUGACUCCCUUGGGGACUAUACAAGGACAUGGAAACAAGGAAUUGUGACUCAUUGGUGUCCAUUAAGGUAACAGUGUACCACCCCGAGGUUAGUUUAGUGGCUGAACCGAACAAUGUAGGUACAUAACAAAUGUUUGUGGGCUUGUAAUUUAUUCAACUAUCCCUUCUGAAACUGUGUAGGAAAUUUGCUUACUCUGAAAUGGGAAUUAUGUUCUCCAAACAAAAAGCUAAGAUGAGCCUUCAGUUAACGGGGAAUGGGGAGA